rnacentral:ncRNA from 1 species
GGCAAAAUCGCUGAAAGGCGAUGACGCAAAGCUAUGAGUCUACGGCGGAACUAAGUAAACCGCUAAGAUUGUCAAGCUGCAA